AUAUCAAUAAGCGGAGGAAAAGAAACCAACAGGGAUUGCCCUAGUAACGGCGAGUGAAGCGGCACAAGCUCAAAUUUGAAAUCUGGCUUCGGCCCGAGUUGUAAUUUGGAGAGGAUGUUUCGGGCACCGCCAUGGCUUAAGUUUCUUGGAACAGAAUGUCAGAGAGGGUGAGAAUCCCGUCUGGAGCCUCGGUAGGACCCAUGUGAAACUCCUUCGACGAGUCGAGUUGUUUGGGAAUGCAGCUCAAAAUGGGUGGUAAAUUUCAUCUAAAGCUAAAUAUUGGCCAGAGACCGAUAGCGCACAAGUAGAGUGAUCGAAAGAUGAAGAGCACUUUGAAAAGAGAGUUAAACAGUAUGUGAAAUUGUUGAAAGGGAAGCGCUUGCCUCCAGACGUGCCGGCGCCGGUUCCCCUCCGCUUCUGCGGGGGAUACUCCGGCGUGGGCAGGCCAACAUCGGUUCGGGGGGCUGGUCAAAGGCCGGGGGAAUGUAUCUUGUCUUUCGGGGCAAGACUUAUAGCCCCUGGUGUCAUGCGGCCUCCCUGGACCGAGGAACGCGCUUCGGCUCGGAUGUUGGCGUAAUGGUGGUCAGCGA
rnacentral:rRNA from 1 species